AUUGAACGCUGGCGGAAUGCUUUACACAUGCAAGUCGAACGGCAGCACGGACUUCGGUCUGGUGGCGAGUGGCGAACGGGUGAGUAAUGUAUCGGAACGUGCCCAGUCGUGGGGGAUAACGUAGUGAAAAUUACGCUAAUACCGCAUACGAUCUAUGGAUGAAAGCGGGGGAUCGCAAGACCUCGCGCGAUUGGAGCGGCCGAUAUCAGAGUAGGUAGUUGGUGGGGUAAAGGCCCACCAAGCCAACGAUCUGUAGCUGGUCUGAGAGGUCGACCAGCCACACUGGAACUGAGACACGGUCCAGACUCCUACGGGAGGCAGCAGUGGGGAAUUUUGGACAAUGGGCGAAAGCCUGAUCCAGCCAUUCCGCGUGCAGGAUGAAGGCCCUCGGGUUGUAAACUGCUUUUGUACAGAACGAAAAGGUUUCUACUAAUACUAGGAGCUCAUGACGGUACUGUAAGAAUAAGCACCGGCUAACUACGUGCCAGCAGCCGCCGUAA
rnacentral:rRNA from 1 species